AGGGCCUUAGCUCAGUUGGUUAGAGCACCUGCAUGACAUGCAGGGGGUCGGCGGUUCGAGUCCGCCAGGCCCUACCA
rnacentral:tRNA from 1 species